rnacentral:tRNA from 1 species
UCCGGAGUAGCUCAACGGUAGAGCAUCUCGCUGUUAACGAGGUGGUUACAGGUUCGAGUCCUGUCUCCGGAGCCA